rnacentral:rRNA from 1 species
UACGAAGGGGGCUAGCGUUGUUCGGAAUCACUGGGCGUAAAGCGCACGUAGGCGGAUGUGUCAGUCAGGGGUGAAAUCCCGGAGCUCAAAUUCGGAACUGCCUCUGAUACAGCACGUCUUGAGUCCGGAAGAGGUGGGUGGAAUUCCUAGUGUAGAGGUGAAAUUCGUAGAUAUUAGGAAGAACACCGGUGGCGAAGGCGACCCACUGGUCCGGUACUGACGCUGAGGUGCGAAAGCGUGGGGAGCAAACAGG